GGUUUUAUAUUCAAAAAUGAUAUUAAAUUGCAAGUUAAAGAUCUUAAACCU
rnacentral:tRNA from 1 species